GACGAACGCUGGCGGCGUGCCUAAUACAUGCAAGUCGGGCGGAUGACGGAGGAGCUUGCUCCUCCUGAUUCAGCGGCGGACGGGUGAGUAACACGUGGGCAACCUGCCCUGUAGAUUGGGAUAACUCCGGGAAACCGGGGCUAAUACCGAAUAAUCCUUCGGACCUCAUGGUCCGAUGUUGAAAGACGGUUUCGGCUGUCACUACAGGAUGGGCCCGCGGCGCAUUAGCUAGUUGGUGAGGUAACGGCUCACCAAGGCCACGAUGCGUAGCCGACCUGAGAGGGUGAUCGGCCACACUGGGACUGAGACACGGCCCAGACUCCUACGGGAGGCAGCAGUAGGGAAUCUUCCACAAUGGACGAAAGUCUGAUGGAGCAACGCCGCGUGAGUGAAGAAGGUUCUCGGAUCGUAAAACCCUGUUGUGAGGGAAGAACAAGUACCGGAGUAACUGCCGGUGCCUUGACGGUACCUCAUUAGAAAGCCACGGCUAACUACGUGCCAGCCGCCGCCGUAA
rnacentral:rRNA from 1 species